GACGUAGGAGGCGAGCGUUGUCCGGAUUUACUGGGCGUAAAGCGCGCGCAGGCGGUCGCGCAGGUCAUCUGUGAAAGCCCCCGGGCUCAACCGGGCGGAUGCGGGUGAAACCGCGCGACUGGAGGGUGGGAGAGGUCGGCGGAAUUCCCGGUGUAGUGGUGAAAUGCGUAGAUAUCGGGAGGAACACCCGUAGCGAAGGCGGCCGACUGGACCACACCUGACGCUGAGACACGAAAAGCGUGGGUAGCAAACAGGG
rnacentral:rRNA from 1 species